rnacentral:rRNA from 1 species
CUGCUGCCUUCCGUAGGAGUUUGGACCGUGUCUCAGUUCCAAUGUGGGGGACCUUCCUCUCAGAACCCCUACUGAUCGUCGCCCCGGUGGGCCGUUACCCCGCCGGCAAGCUAAUCAGACGCAUCCCCAUCCUUUACCGGCCGAAGCCUUUGGUCAUGAAAAUAUGCAUCAACAUGACAACAUACGGUAUUAAUCCGCCUUUCGACGGGCUGUCCCAUAGUAAAGGGCAGGUUGGAUACGCGUUACUCACCCGUACGCCGGUCGCCAUCAG